GGAAGAUGACAGCAAAGAAGGCCCACACUGACACCAUGAUCUUGGAGGUGGUCCCCUUUGGGUUCUGCACAGCAAACCCAUCAUUUACCUAAGAAGGCAGAAGGUGAGACAGUCCCAUUGCUGCGUGACACCAUGACACUGAUGCCUGUCUCUAUGAAGGGCACAGAGAAGUCGACCACCUCCGAUCGUUCCUCAUUGAUGAUGGCUACAGAGGAGUUUGAUGACUUGCCCAAGCUCCCACGGUAAGUGACUUGAAGCUGAGCAGUCUGACUCCAGAGCUUGGACUCCUACCCACCACUCUGCACUGCUUCUCUGACAAUGAAGGAGUAAGACAUGUUCCUUUUCCUCCAAGGACAGUCUAGAGGGAAAAGACACUAUCCAUCGACAAUAAUAGGCUUUGGUAAUUACUCUAAUAUCCACUAUCCAUUGACAAGUUAGGCUUUGGUAAUUACUGUAAUAAAAGAUAUAAAUAAAGUACUCCGGC
rnacentral:lncRNA from 10 species